UAACAAACGGAGCAAAGCGCACGUUUUGUAUAAAUCCAAGCAACACGCGAAUCUGUCGUCUUUAUAUAUAAAGAGUUCUUACGAAACAGUUAGCACAUUCGGACUAUACUCUGCCCAGGAACUCAGCCGUUGUCGCGACAUCAAACACAAAAUGAAAUUCUCGAUAAUGAUUUGUCUCAGCUUAUACGCGAUGGCUGAAUGCAGUCCAUCCAUAGAUAGUGGAGCGAGCUCUCAAAUCCUACACAUGGAUACAGAUAAUAUGCCUAACUCAUACAAUUUCCAUUACGACGCCAACGAUGGAUCUUCAAGAACAGAACAUGGAGCAAUACUGAACGCUGGAACAAAAGAUGCAGCUCUUGACGUUUUGGGUUCCGUACGGUGGUAUGACGACAAAGGGCAUCUCUACGAAAUGACAUACAAAGCUGGUAAAAG